rnacentral:rRNA from 1 species
CGGGGUGCAGCAGGCGCGAAAACUUUACAAUGCGGGAAACCGUGAUAAGGGGACACCGAGUGCCAGCAUCAUAUGCUGGCUGUCCGGGUGUGUAAAAUACACCCGUUAGCAAGGGCCGGGCAAGACCGGUGCCAGCCGCCGCGGUAACACCGGCGGCCCGAGUGGUGAUCGUGAUUAUUGGGUCUAAAGGGUCCGUAGCCGGUUUGGUCAGUCCUCCGGGAAAUCUGACGGCUCAACCGUUAGGCUUUCGGGGGAUACUGCCAGGCUCGGAACCGGGAGAGGUAAGAGGUACUACAGGGGUAGGAGUGAAAUCUUGUAAUCCCUGUGAGACCACCCGUGGCGAAGGCGUCUUACCAGAACGGGUUCGACGGUGAGGGAAGAAAGCUGGGGGCACGAACCGGAUUAGAUACCCGGGUAGUCCCAGCCGUAAACGAUGCUCCCUAGGUGUCAGGCAUGGCGCGACCGUGUCUGGUGCCGCAGGGAAGCCGUGAAGCGAGCCACUCCCGAAUUACAGCCGCAAGCAUGAAACAUAAAG